UACACUCCUAGGGAGGCAGCAGUGGGGAAUUUUGGACAAUGGGCGAAAGCCUGAUCCAGCAAUGCCGCGUGAGUGAAGAAGGCCUUCGGGUUGUAAAGCUCUUUUGUCAGGGAAGAAACGGUGAAAGCUAAUAUCUUUUGCUAAUGACGGUACCUGAAGAAUAAGCACCGGCUAACUACGUGCCAGCAGCCGCGGUAAUACGUAGGGUGCAGGCGUCAAUCGGAAUUACUGGGCGUAAAGCGUGCGCAGGCGGUUUUGUAAGUCUGAUGUGAAAUCCCCGGGCUCAACCUGGGAAUUGCAUUGGAGACUGCAAGGCUAGAAUCUGGCAGAGGGGGGUAGAAUUCCACGUGUAGCAGUGAAAUGCGUAGAUAUGUGGAGGAACACCGAUGGCGAAGGCAGCCCCCUGGGUCAAGAUUGACGCUCAUGCACGAAAGCGUGGGGAGCAAACAGGAUUAGAAACCCAGUAGUCCCAUGAU
rnacentral:rRNA from 1 species